rnacentral:rRNA from 1 species
GACGAACGCUGGCGGCGUGCUUAACACAUGCAAGUCGGACGGGAAUCCACGCGUCGAGGUGGAGUAGUUUACUAUGAAACCAAGAUUGUGGAUUUUAGUGGCGGACGGGUGAGUAACGCGUGAGGAUCUAUCCAUUACUGGGGGACAACAGCUGGAAACGGCUGCUAAUACCGCAUAAGCCUUCGGGUGAAAGAAGUAAUUCGGUAUAGGAGGAACUCGCGUCCUAUCAGCUAGUAGGUGGGGUAACGGCCCACCUAGGCGAAGACGGGUAGCCGGCCUGAGAGGGCGCACGGCCACACUGGAACUGAGAUACGGUCCAGACUCCUACGGGAGGCAGCAGUGGGGAAUAUUGGGCAAUGGGCGGAAGCCUGACCCAGCGACGCCGCGUGAAUGAAGAAAUCCUUCGGGAUGUAAAGUUCUGUUGUACGGGAAGAGCGAGAGACGGUACCGUACGAGGAAGCCCCGGCAAACUACGUGCCAGCCGCCGCAGUAAUAC